rnacentral:rRNA from 1 species
UACGUAGGGUGCGAGCGUUGUCCGGAAUUACUGGGCGUAAGGAGCUCGUAGGUGGUUUGUCGCGUUGUUCGUGAAAACCGGGGGCUUAACCCUCGGCGUGCGGGCGAUACGGGCAGACUGGAGUACUGCAGGGGAGACUGGAAUUCCUGGUGUAGCGGUGGAAUGCGCAGAUAUCAGGAGGAACACCGGUGGCGAAGGCGGGUCUCUGGGCCGUAACUGACGCUGAGGAGCGAAAGCGUGGGGAGCGAACAGG